rnacentral:rRNA from 1 species
UGACUGACUGAGUGCCAGCAGCCGCGGUAAUACGGAGGGGGCAAGCGUUAUUCGGAAUUAUUGGGCGUAAAGGGCGCGUAGGCGGCUUGGUAGGUCAAAGGUGAAAUCCCUCAGCUCAACUGAGGAACUGCCUUUGAAACCACCUAGCUAGAGGCUGGGAGGGGAUAGCGGAAUUCCCGGUGUAGCGGGGAAAUGCGUAGAUAUCGGGAGGAACACCAGUGGCGAAGGCGGCUAUCUGGACCAGUUCUGACGCUCAGGCGCGAAACCGUGGGGAGCAAACAGGAUUAGAUACCCUGGUAGUCCACGCUGUAAACGAUGGGCACUCGGUGUUGCGGGUAUUGACCCCUGCAAUGCCUUAGCUAACGCGUUAAGUGCCCCGCCUGGAGAGUACGGUCCAAGGCUGAAACUCAAAGGAAUUGACCGGGCCCGCACAAGCGGUGACCAUGU